rnacentral:rRNA from 1 species
CUACGGGACGCUCCAGUGGGGAAUAUUGCACAAUGGAGGAAACUCUGAUGCAGCAACGCCGCGUGGAGGAUGACACUUUUCGGAGCGUAAACUCCUUUUAUAUAGGAAGAAGAUGACGGUACUAUAUGAAUAAGCGCCGGCUAACUCCGUGCCAGCAGCCGCGGUAAUACGGAGGGCGCAAGCGUUACUCGGUAUCACUGGGCGUAAAGAGCGUGUAGGCGGAUUAAAAAGUCAGAAGUGAAAUCCUAUAGCUUAACUAUAGAACUGCUUCUGAAACUCUUAAUCUAGAAUAUGGGAGAGGUAGAUGGAAUUUCUGGUGUAGGGGUAAAAUCCGUAGAGAUCAGAAGGAAUACCGAUUGCGAAGGCGAUCUACUAGAACAUUAUUGACGCUGAGACGCGAAAGCGUGGGGAGCAAACAGGAUUAGAUACCCUCGUAGUC